UACGAAGGGGGCGAGCGUUGUUCGGAAUUACUGGGCGAAAGGGCGCGCAGGCGGCUCUGAAAGUCAGAUGUGAAAGCCCCGGGCUUAACCUGGGAAUUGCAUUUGAUACUCUGGAGCUUGAGUACGGGAGAGGAGAGUGGAAUUCCCAGUGUAGAGGUGAAAUUCGUAGAUAUUGGGAAGAACACCGGUGGCGAAGGCGGCUCUCUGGACCGUAACUGACGCUGAGGCGCGAAAGCGUGGGGAGCAAACAGG
rnacentral:rRNA from 1 species